CAGAAGACAAGAAAUAACUAACAUCAGAGCAGAACUGAAGGAGAUAGAGACAUGAAAAACCCUCCAAAAAAUCAAUGAAUCCAGGAGCUGGUUUUUUGAAAAGAUCAACAAGAUAGAUAGACCACUAGCCAGACUAAUAAAGAGAAAAAGAAAGAAGAAUCAAAUAGACACAAUAAAAAAUGAUAAAGGGGAUAUCACCACUGAUUCUACAGAAAUACAAACUACCAUUGAGAGGUGAGGCCAGCUGGACUUCCCGGCUGGAGUGGGGACUUGGAGAACUUUCCUGCCUUACAAGGGGAUUGUAAAAUGCACCAAUCAACGCUCUGUAGCUAGUAAGAGGUUUGUAAAAUGGACCAAUUAGCGUUCUGUAAAAUGGACCAAUCAGCACUCUGUAAAAUGGACCAAUCAGCAGGAUUCUAAAAGUUACCAAUCACGGGGAGGAUUGAGAAAAGGGCUUUCUGAUAGGACAGAAACAGGACAUGGGAGAGGACAAAUAAGGGAAAAAAGCUGUCCACCCCAGCCAGCAACAGCAACCCACUCAGGUCCCCUUCCACGCUGUGGAAGCUUUGUUCUUUUGCUCUUCACAGUAAAUCUUGCUGCUGCUCACUCUUUGGGUCCAUGCCACUUUUAAGAGCUGUAACACUCACCGUGAAAACCCGCAGCUUCAUUCUUGAAGUCAGCAAGACCAUGAACCACCAGAAGGAACCAACUCCGGACAUAUCUUGGGGGCUCAUCUGGGAUUUCGCCAUGUGAUUCUCUGGCCUUUCAUACUUCAAAGGCUCGUGCUUAAGAGGAAGAGAAAAUAAGUACAAAAGUCUCAAUGCUCCCCAGCAUGUGUAUGGAAAGAGGAGAGCAUCUGUUUCUAUAUGGAGAGAACAGAACAUGAGAAUCUCAUAACAGAGGUUGUUUCCAAAUUGGAACUGAGGAACUGGAGAUAAGAGGAAAAACAAACAUUAAGAAAAAGCAGUCCUUGUGCUCAAGAAAAUACAUAUGGAAGAUAUGGAAAAAGCAAGUACUGAACUAAUCUUAAUGCAAGGCAGGAUAUGAGAUGUCACAAGAAAGGUACAAAUAACGUGCAGUGGAGAAUCAGAAAAGGGAGAGGUUCAUCUGAUUGCAUGAUGGAAGCAAAUCAGGACACAUUUAUAGAAGAGGUAAGUUUUAAAAUAGAUCUUAAGGAAUGAGCAGGAUUUCGACAAAGAUGAAAAGAAAUUCUGGAAGAAUAAAACAGUAAGAGAAACUUGGCGAUGUGAACAUAUAGGUUUGGUUAUAGUUUGGUUUGAGGAAAUGCAAAUAAUCUAGUUUGGCAGAAGUUAAAGCUGAUUAUAUAAUUUUUGAGUUUUUUUUUUUUAACUUAAAGUUUACUAACAAGAACGUGAAACCCAGAAGCCAGAAAAGAUGGACAGAUUUAGUUUAAAAACUAAAUAGAUAAAUCUGUGGGCUGAAAGAUGCCACUAACAAAGUUCAAAGAGAAAUACUUGAAAAUGAAAACCUUUGCAAUAAUAACAUGUGACCAGAUACUAUGUCAGAUGACAAAUAUCCAUAAUUUCCAUUGUAU
rnacentral:lncRNA from 10 species